GACGAACGCUGGCGGCACGCUUAACACAUGCAAGUCGAACGGAGAACAUUGAGCUUGCUUAAUGUUCUUAGUGGCGGACGGGUGAGUAACACGUGAGUAACCUGCCUCUGAGAGUGGGAUAGCUUCUGGAAACGGAUGGUAAUACCGCAUAACAUCAUGGAUUCGCAUGUUUCUAUGAUCAAAGAUUUAUCGCUCAGAGAUGGGCUCGCGUCUGAUUAGCUAGUUGGUAAGGUAACGGCUUACCAAGGCGACGAUCAGUAGCCGGACUGAGAGGUUGAUCGGCCACAUUGGGACUGAGACACGGCCCAGACUCCUACGGGAGGCAGCAGUGGGGAAUAUUGCACAAUGGGGGAAACCCUGAUGCAGCGAUGCCGCGUGGAGGAAGAAGGUUUUCGGAUUGUAAACUCCUGUUGAAGAGGACGAUAAUGACGGUACUCUUUUAGAAAGCUCCGGCUAACUACGUGCCAGCAGCCGCCGUAACAC
rnacentral:rRNA from 1 species